CCUGUUUGAUUCUGCCAGUAGCAUAUGCUUGUCUCAAAGAUUAAGCCAUGCACAUGUAAGUACACAGCGAAACUGCAAAUGGUUCAUUGAAUAAGUUAUGGUUCCUUUGAUUGCUACAACUGUUGCUUGGAUAACUGUGGUAAUUAUAGAGCUAAUACAUUCCAACAAAUGCUGGCCUCCAGGGAUGUGUGGAUUUAUCAGACCAAGGCCAACCUGGGCUCGCCCGGCUGCUUUAUUGACUCUAGAUAAGCUUGAGCAGAUUGCACAUCCCAGUGAUGACGAUUAUACAUUUGGAUAUCUGCCCUAUCAACUUUCAAUGAUACUUUCAUUGCCUACCAUGGUGAUCAUGGGUAACGGGAAAUCAGGCUUAAUUUCCAGAGAGGGAGACUGAGAAAUGGCUACCACAUCCAAGGAAGGAAGCAGGCAUUCAAAUUACCUGCUCCCGACUCCGGGAGGUGGUAAAGACAAAGUAACAGUAGGGACUCUUUCAAGGCUCUGUAAUUGUAAUGAGUACACUUUAAAUCCUUUAACAAGGAUCCAUUGGAGGGCAAGUCUGCUGCCAACAGCAGCAGUAAUUCCAGCUCCAAUAGCGUAUAUUAAAGUUCCUGUAGUUAGAAAGCUCAAAGUUGGAUGUUGGAAUUAAGCUCAUGGGCCGCCAUGAGACGAGCUACCGCCUGUCCCAGCCCAUGCCUCUUGGAACUCCCUGGAUGCUCUUGACUCAUUGCCCUGCAGUUUGAAGCAUUUACUUUGAAAAAUUAGACUGUUCAAAGACACUCAGUCACCUUAAUACUUCAGCUAGUAAUGAUGAGAUAGGACUCAGUCUAUUUUGUUGGUUUUUGGAACGGCCGAGGGCAUUUGUUUUGGCCCUCUAGAGGAGAACAUCUUGGACCACUGUACUGUCACCCAGAAACAAUGUCGACUAGCAAUCCGGCAGCGUUAAUCCCAUGACCAGCCGAGUAGCCUCCGGGAAACCAAAGUCAUUGGGAGUAUGGUUGCAAAGCUGAAACUUAAAGAAAUUGAUGGAAGAGCACCACCAGGAGUAGAGCAUGCAACUUAAUUUGACUCAACCCGGGAAACCUCACCAGGCCCGGACACAGAAAAGAUUGACAGAUUGAUAGCUUAUUCAAGAGUCUGUGGUAGUUGUGCAUGGCCAUUCGUAGUUGGUGGUGCGAUUUGUCCAGUGAAUUCUGAUGAAGAUCAAGACUCCUCCAUGCUAACUAGCUACAAAAUGUCCAAAUUCUUAGAGGGACAAGUGACCUUAAACCACACAAGCUCAAACAAUAACAGGUCUCUGAUGCCCUUAAAGGUCCUUAAAUGCAGGGCUGCACGCUCACUACACUGAACAGAUCAGUGUGUGUCUACCAUUCACCAACAGGUGCAGGUAACCUGCUGAACCCCAUUGUGAUAGGGAUUGGGGAUUGCAAUAAUUUCCAUGAACAAGGAAUUCACAGUAAAUGCGGGUCAUAAGCAUGUUUUAAUUAAGUCCCUCUCCUUUGUACACACCGCCUGUCGCUACUACCGAUUAGAUGUUUUAGUGAGGUCCUCGUAUCAGUCCCUCUGGGGUCGGCAAUGGCCCUGGCAGAGCGCCGAGAAGAUGAUCAGACUUGACUAUCUAGAGGAAGUAAAAGUCGUAACAAUGUUUCCUGUAGGUGAACCUGCAGAAG
rnacentral:rRNA from 1 species